AGAGUUUGAUCCUGGCUCAGGAUGAACGCUGGCGGCGAGCUUAACACAUGCAAGUCGAACGAUCCUUCGGGAUAGUGGCGGACGGGUGAGUAACGCGUGGGAAUCUGCCCUCAGGAGGGGGAUAACGGCUGGAAACGGCCGCUAAUACCCCAUAUGCCGAGAGGUGAAAUGAAUUUCGCCUGAGGAUGAGCCCGCGUCUGAUUAGCUAGUUGGUGGGGUAAAGGCCUACCAAGGCAACGAUCAGUAGCUGGUCUGAGAGGAUGAUCAGCCACACUGGGACUGAGACACGGCCCAGACUCCUACGGGAGGCAGCAGUGGGGAAUUUUCCGCAAUGGGCGAAAGCCUGACGGAGCAACGCCGCGUGAGGGAUGAAGGCCUCUGGGCUGUAAACCUCUUUUCUCAAGGAAGAAGACCUGACGGUACUUGAGGAAUAAGCCACGGCUAAUUCCGUGCCAGCAGCCGCGGUAAUACGGGAGUGGCAAGCGUUAUCCGGAAUUAUUGGGCGUAAAGCGUCCGCAGGCGGCCUUGUAAGUCUGUUGUUAAAGCGUGGAGCUCAACUCCAUUUAAGCAAUGGAAACUACAAGGCUGGAGUGUGGUAGGGGCAGAGGGAAUUCCCGGUGUAGCGGUGAAAUGCGUAGAUAUCGGGAAGAACACCAGUGGCGAAGGCGCUCUGCUGGGCCAUAACUGACGCUCAUGGACGAAAGCCAGGGGAGCGAAAGGGAUUAGAUACCCCUGUAGUCCUGGCCGUAAACGAUGAACACUAGGUGUCGGGGGAAUCGACCCCCUCGGUGUCGUAGCCAACGCGUUAAGUGUUCCGCCUGGGGAGUACGCACGCAAGUGUGAAACUCAAAGGAAUUGACGGGGGCCCGCACAAGCGGUGGAGUAUGUGGUUUAAUUCGAUGCAACGCGAAGAACCUUACCAGGGUUUGACAUCCUGCGAACCCCUGAGAAAUCGGGGGGUGCCUUCGGGAGCGCAGAGACAGGUGGUGCAUGGCUGUCGUCAGCUCGUGUCGUGAGAUGUUGGGUUAAGUCCCGCAGCGAGCGCAACCCACGUCUUUAGUUGCCAGCAUUCAGUUGGGCACUCUAGAGAGACCGCCGGUGAUAAACCGGAGGAAGGUGUGGAUGACGUCAAGUCAUCAUGCCCCUUACAUCCUGGGCUACACACGUACUACAAUGCUACGGACAAAGGGCAGCAAGCUCGCGAGAGUUAGCAAAUCCCAUAAACCGUGGCUCAGUUCAGAUCGUAGGCUGCAACUCGCCUACGUGAAGGAGGAAUCGCUAGUAAUCGCAGGUCAGCAUACUGCGGUGAAUACGUUCCCGGGCCUUGUACACACCGCCCGUCACACCAUGGAAGUUGGCCAUGCCCGAAGUCGUUACUCCAACCCUUGUGGAGGAGGACGCCGAAGGUGGGGCUGAUGACUGGGGUGAAGUCGUAACAAGGUA
rnacentral:rRNA from 1 species